GACGAACGCUGGCGGCGUGCUUAACACAUGCAAGUCGAACGCUGAAGGCCUGGCUUUUGUUGGGUUGGAUGAGUGGCGAACGGGUGAGUAACACGUGAGUAACCUGCCCUCUUCUUUGGGAUAACGCCCGGAAACGGGUGCUAAUACUGGAUAUUCACUGAUCUUCGCAUGGGGGUUGGUGGAAAGGUUUGUUCUGGUGGGGGAUGGGCUCGCGGCCUAUCAGCUUGUUGGUGGGGUGAUGGCCUACCAAGGCUUUGACGGGUAGCCGGCCUGAGAGGGUGACCGGUCACAUUGGGACUGAGAUACGGCCCAGACUCCUACGGGAGGCAGCAGUGGGGAAUAUUGCACAAUGGGCGAAAGCCUGAUGCAGCGACGCCGCGCGAGGGAUGGAGGCCUUCGGGUUGUAAACCUCUUUCGCUCAUGGUCAAGCCGCAACUGUGGGUUGUGGUGAGGGUAGUGGGUAAAGAAGCGCCGGCUAACUACGUG
rnacentral:rRNA from 1 species